AUUUGAUUUCUUAACUUACAUCGACGGGAAGUUUUGGCACCUCGAUGUCAGCUCUUCGCCACUAGGGCUGUAGUAUGUUCCAAGGGUUGGGCUAUUCACCCAUUAAAGAGGUACGUGAGUUGGGUUCAGAACGUCGUGUAACUGCUC
rnacentral:rRNA from 1 species